CAGACACUAGCUGGGUAAAUGUCCCCUACAUUGCUAAAGAUCCCUCACCGACAGCUGGCUUUGGGCGCUCAACUGUCCAUUGCUGAGUGUUUUAAAAUAGAGUAUCGUAUGAGCCAAGCAUGUAUGACGGGGAAGGACUUCUACAAGGGUGUGAGAGCGGUGCUAGUAGACAGGGACAAUAGCCCUCAGUGGACUCCAGCCAUUUUACAAGACGUGGCUGAUGAGUUCGUAGAUCAAUACUUUGCUAGAUUACCAGAGGACAAAGAAUUGCAACUCUAGCAUCAUGUUCGAUGAGUGCGAAUAAGUUAUUGUGUGUGUGAUGAUAUAAUUAUACCUCUGUUGCUUUAGCAGAGUUUAUUUCAGGUAAGGGGCAGAGGGGAAAUUUCACCCCCCCCCUUAGAUGAUCAAAAAUGUUACCAA